AACGAACGCUGGCGGCAUGCCUAACACAUGCAAGUCGAACGAGACCUUCGGGUCUAGUGGCGCACGGGUGCGUAACGCGUGGGAACCUGCCCUUAGGUUCGGAAUAACUCCCCGAAAGGGGUGCUAAUACCGGAUAAUGUCUUCGGACCAAAGAUUUAUCGCCUUUGGAUGGGCCCGCGUUGGAUUAGCUAGUUGGUAGGGUAAAAGCCUACCAAGGCGACGAUCCAUAGCUGGUCUGAGAGGAUGAUCAGCCACACUGGGACUGAGACACGGCCCAGACCCCUACGGGAGGCAGCAGGGGGGAAUAUUGGACAAGGGGCGAAAGCCUAACCCAGCAAUGCCGGGUGGGUGAUGAAGGCCUUAGGGUUGAAAAGCUUUUUUCCCCGGGAUGAUAAUGACAGUACCGGGAAAAAAAGCCCCGGCUAACUCCGU
rnacentral:rRNA from 1 species